rnacentral:rRNA from 1 species
CCCGUCACGUCAAGAGAGUCGGUAACACCCGAACGUCGCCGUAUGGCGGCGGAAGGUGAGAUCGAUGAUAAGGACUAAGUCGUAACAAGGCAUCCGUAGCGGAAGCUGUGGAUGGAUCACCUCCUUUCUAGGGA